AACUAACACAAACUCAUCAGUUCUCUCACACUCACCCAUCUCAUCUCUCUGCUCUUCACUUCGCACGCCCUCACCCCCACGCCUCCCAGCCUCGCUUGUAUUUCUGCGCUCUGCUCCGUGGUAGAGAUUUGCUACCAAAACACCAAGCAACACUGAUCUGCUACCAAAAACCACCAGAUGGGUAAAAACACCACUUCCAAUCCCGAGGCAAAAAAGGCUAGAGCAUUAUGGGAUAAUGAUCCAAGCUGGACAACUACUUUUUGUAACCUUUGUGUGGAACAGAUUCAAAUCGGGAAUAGAUCAAGAGGUGCUGCCUUUAGUACCGAAGGUUGGACCAAUCUAGUGACCAAAUUUUGUGAUGAGACCGGUCAAAACUAUGAUAGGGAUCAAUUUAAUCAUCUUUUAUCAUCUUUUUUACAUUUUUGUGCUGUACAAUUUAAAC